rnacentral:rRNA from 1 species
GGGGAAUUUUGGACAAUGGGGGCAACCCUGAUCCAGCCAUGCCGCGUGCGGGAAGAAGGCCUUCGGGUUGUAAACCGCUUUCGGACGGAAAGAAAUCGCCAUUCCUAAUACGAGUGGUGGAUGACGGUACCGUAAGAAGAAGCACCGGCUAACUACGUGCCAGCAGCCGCGGUAAUACGUAGGGUGCGAGCGUUAAUCGGAAUUACUGGGCGUAAAGCGUGCGCAGGCGGUUUCUUAAGCCAGACGUGAAAUCCCCGAGCUUAACUUGGGAACUGCGUUUGGAACUGGGAGACUAGAGUGUGUCAGAGGGGGGUGGAAUUCCACGUGUAGCAGUGAAAUGCGUAGAGAUGUGGAGGAACACCGAUGGCGAAGGCAGCCCCCUGGGAUAACACUGACGCUCAUGCACGAAAGCGUGGGGAGCAAAC